rnacentral:tRNA from 1 species
AUUUAUAUAGUUUAAAUAAAACAUUACAUUUUCAUUGUAAAAUCAAGUUCAAAUCUUUAUAAAUA